AUGCGGAGGGUGCAAGCGUUGUUCGGAAUUACAGGGCGUAAAGCGCGCGUAGGUGGUCUGUUAUGUCAGAUGUGAAAGUCCACGGCUCAACCGUGGAAGUGCAUUUGAAACUGGCAGACUUGAGUACUGGAGGGGGUAGUGGAAUUCCCGGUGUAGAGGUGAAAUUCGUAGAUAUCGGGAGGAAUACCGGUGGCGAAGGCGACUACCUGGCCAGAUACUGACACUGAGGUGCGAAAGCGUGGGGAGCGAACAGGAUUAGAAACCCCAGUAGUCC
rnacentral:rRNA from 1 species